CCGGCCGCAAGCGGCGCUCGCAAAGUUCGGAUCCGCAAGGACCGGGCCAGCGGGACGUCCGCGUGGCAGGGUGCACUUUCUCCGCGGUCGAGUGCUACGACCGGUUUUGCGGCGGUCAGAAGCCCGGCGGUAAGGUAGCGCCGCCCUUCGGGGUGUCGUGUUAUAGACCGCCGCGGUGGACACGCCGCGAGACCGAGGACGCUUGCCGCGCCGUGCGGUCCCGGGCCGUCUGGGGAGGUUCGACCUCGGCUGCACUGCUCCGCAGAGCACCGUAACCGCCGCCCUAGCACGGGUCCGGAGACUGCCGGCGCCUCGGGUCAGUAGCG
rnacentral:rRNA from 1 species